rnacentral:rRNA from 1 species
AGGACGAACGCUGGCGGCGUGCUUAACACAUGCAAGUCGAGCGGUAAGGCUCCUUCGGGAGUACACGAGCGGCGAACGGGUGAGUAACACGUGAGCAAUCUGCCCUUCUCAUCGGAAUAACCAUUGGAAACGAUGGCUAAUGCCGAAUAUGACCUCGGAUCACAUGUUCUGAGGUGGAAAGCUCCGGCGGAGAAGGAUGAGCUCGCGGCCUAUCAGCUUGUUGGUGAGGUAAUGGCUCACCAAGGCGAUGACGGGUAGCCGGCCUGAGAGGGUGACCGGCCACACUGGGACUGAGACACGGCCCAGACUCCUACGGGGAGGCAGCAGUGGGGAAUCUUGCACAAUGGGCGAAAGCCUGAUGCAGCAACGCGCGUGCGGGAAGAGGCCUCGGGUUGUAACCGCUUUCAGAAGGAACGAAACUGACGGUACUUCAGAAGAAGGUGCGGCCAACUACGUGCCAGCAGCCGC